rnacentral:lncRNA from 1 species
GUAGGUACAUGGAUUAUUUUGAAUAUAAUGCAUCACACAAUGAUGUCUUGCUAAAUUGUGAUGAGCUCGAAUUUCUUAUCAAGUAAGUGUAUAAAUUCUUAUACCUUUAUAGUGAUUAUCUCAUUAGAAUGAUAAUUUGUAGCUACUAAUGAAUUGUUAUACAAUUAUAGGUAAUAUGAUGAUUAUGUGAGGGCAUGCUAUCUUUCGACAAGCGAUAAAAAGGUGGAAAGGUUUCAUGAACGGGAGUUUGCAAGUUGAUUAAAAUAG